AACUUGUUUUGCAUAUGGUUGCAUGUUUAAUUAGUGGUCCUUCUGUAAGUGUCUGCAAUUAGCACUGUGAUGAUUAAUAAAAUAACUCCUUUAAAGCUCCAUUUGGCUAGCAGAACUGCACAAUCAGAACUGGAAGCUACUAAAGCCACCACCACCACCACAACAGCUCCUCCAGAACUGCACAGAGCAGCAAGUAUAUUGGUACAGUUGGCGGGUGUUGAAGCCAUGUAUAUUUGCAAGUGAUGUGAUCGAGCUGCGUAGACAGUUACGGCUUUGGCGGGAAGAAAGCAGUGGCUACGUCUGGAAGCCUGAACACCAGUGGUUCUCAAACUUCAGUAUGCACCGGAAUCACCUGGAGGGCCUGUUAAAAACCAGAGCUUCUGAUUCGGUAUGCUUCUCUGGCCCUCACCCCUGCUUCCUCGGCUGCUACUUCUGGAGCUCUAUGGCCCCUACAGCCUCUCAACCUUUGACCAGGUUGACCCAGUAAACACA